GCCCUGCGCCCGCCGCGGGCGCCCCUCACGCGACACGCCAGCAAACGGUGUCACGACUCCCCGCCACAGAGGGGGACGACCCCGCAGGCCGCGCAGCUGCAAGACAGCUGGAAUCCCGAGGGAGGCUGGUCGCGCUCCGAGGCGCGUCCCUCCUCCCGCUCGUCUCCGGGCGGACCCAGCCGCGUCGGGGAAGACGAGCUCGAGCUCCCUCUAGCGGCGACGCUGUGCGACCCACAGUCCCCUCCGAACGGCGCGCGGUGCCGCGCGCGGGCCGCACUUCCCCUGCCCGCCUCCAGAUGGCAGUGGAGGGCAGGCCAGCGCGGAGCCCUACACGCAGCCUUUUUUUUUCAACCGUAAAGAUCAUAUAUUGAUGUGCGUUUAGGAAUUACAAUGUGGACCUCACAGUCCGUGAGUGUUGCUAAGGCAUUUCAUUGGCAGCAUUCGUUUGCCUCCCUAGGUCCUGCAAUCUUGACAUUUUAAGGUGGGGGCUACAGAGUGAACUCAAAAUAACUGAUGGAAUGAGUUAGUAUUUUAUCAAAAGCAUUGGCUGGAGGAUUCACCCAUCUGGCCUCAGCAAUCUGGCCUCCUAGACAACUGCAGAAGUAAAUAAAACCAAAUAAGAAAACGAGAAAACAACUGCCACUAUUUAUUGAGCUCCAUAUGGAAACACAGCAGAGAGUCUGCUUAGCUUUUCAUGACGUCAAAGAUGAAAACCCAUGUAAUCCCAGAAGUGGGUUUGAAAUUUGCUUUGCCACUUCCCAGAAAAUGAGUCAUGGACAAAUCACUGAGCCUCAUUUAGCCUCCAUUGCUGGGUUCUCUUCUCUGUACACUGGGGACAAUCAUUUCUGUGUCUCGGAGAUGUUCUGUGAAUGCUGAGAAAGAAAACGGGCGUGACGGCGGGCGGCGCCCCUGAGAGCUGCAGGUGUGGUGCAGCCGCCCCAGCCACCCAUCCGUCCACCCGUGCUCCACGGAUCACUUGGAGACCGAAAACUAGAAAGGACUAGGAAACUCACUUUAUUAAACAUCUACUGGUACUGUAUCAACUGUUUUCAUUCAGAGUUUCUCAUUUAAACCUUUCAA